rnacentral:ncRNA from 1 species
GGAAAAACGAUGAAAAGGUAAAGUACCCUUAUGGCUUCAGCCCAGAGAGCCGGGGACAGGUGAAAGCCCGGUCUGCAAGCGAUAAGGCGAAGUUCACCUUGGAGUUGCCCGCUGAAGACUCUCCCUCCGAACGCAUCGGCAGCGCGAGAGUUGGUAGGUGAGGCCGGAUCUUCCACCGUUAUGGGGAAGGGGGUAUCGGUGAGGCGCUAUGCCUUGGCCCGUACCUUAAUGAAGGAGGGCUUGUUGGGCGCAGUCCCGAAGAGCCAAUGAGGGUGGUACCGCGGGUGAUGAUCCCGUCCCUUGU